CCAACCUGUGCAGUUAUUAGAAUUUGUUUGUUUUGUUUUUUUAAGUAUUGGAUGGAUGAAACGAAGUUGAAAGAAAUAGUACUGUGGAAUCAAGCUUAUUGUAGUUACUUUUUCUCGUGUUGUGCUGAUGGAGAGACAUAUGUGACGGGAAUUGCCAUGUCAAAAGCUACUCAAAAGAAAAUUGUGAAAGCUGAUGCUUAUGUUACAGCAUGUGAUGUCCCUGGAAUUAAAAGAUUAGUUCCACGCACAUGAAGGGAGUGGGAAUUCUUUGAUAAUAUUUAUGAACUAGUUGGUGUGCUUGUGGUCACAGUGCAACUCAGAUACAACGGCUGGGCCACAGAGUUACAGGAUUUAGAACGUUCAAGGCAAGUAAGGCAAGCUGCAGGGUUGGAUAAUCUCCUUUAUAGCCCAGAUGCAGAUUUCUCAUGCUUUGCAGAUCUUGCACUCGCAUCACCUGAAGACUGUUACCUCGAGGGACAAGGCUCAUUGCUCCAGCAAGGAAAAUUCUCUUCGUUUUGUUUUAUGAUAUUAUUGUUGUCAUUAUUAUUAAUUGUUGUUAUUUCUGUAGAGAAAGAUAAUGCCGAUUCACCACAAGAUACAUCUGCUGAAUGAAAUAGUUGAAUAGCCUUUUAUUUGUCUGUAAUUCAAAACCAGAAUUUUUACGACCAUCCUAUUUCUGUCUCUCUUUAUAUACAAUAUAUAUUGGCCUCUCUUGCUCAUGACAGUAUUAUCCUUAAGUUACUAGAUCAUUCAUGAUGAAGAUUUCAUUUGCUAGGACUGCAUGCAACUAGCACAUGGCACGUGUGAUCAAUUCUUGAAGUUGAUUUAUUCCCUUGAGCAAUUGUGUUUAAUCAGAAAAAUGAGCUUAUAGAAAUGCAAACUGUUGUUAGGAAAUGGGACUUCAUGUUUUCUUUGGUUGUUACAAUAAUCUUUUUCGAUUGAUGAAAAAGGUGAAGACCACAUGCUUGUUUUCAUGAAGUUAUUUAUUGAUAUUUUAGAUUUUAAUGUUAAUUUCAUUUCUUGUAUUCUUUAUGGCCCAUAGCUUUUAAGCUGCAAAUAAAGAAUAUUUUUCAUGAUCAUAAAGCAUGAUAUAUGAAACAAGGACCAUCCAUAUUCUAGAAUAUUUGAUCCAUUGAUCUUUUAUGGUAAUAACUGAUAUAACAGUGCCUUUUAGGAUGCUUGUAGGAUCAAAUAUCUGUGUCCUAAUAAUUUAGCUAUGGUACAAAAUGUUUCGGGUUUUUGUGCUUUUGAUUGUUGUAUGACAUCUGCUUAUGAUAAUGAGCAAGGAGCUCAAUCUUAUCUGUUGGUAAGAAAUAUUCAUUGUUGUAGUUGCUUUACAGAUCAUAAGAUAUUGAAAUGAUGGGUGAAUUAUCGCUGAAAUCUAGAGGAUUAAUUAGCCUAGGAUGCCAAGAAGCUUCUAUACUGAUGUACUUGUGCCAAUGAUGUAUUGCUCAUACAUAUUCAUGGCCUACUAAUGCCUUCAAUGAACUCCCAAUGUGCCUACACAAUUAUGAGCUUGCUUUUGAAUAUAGAAUGGAAGAAUAUGGUUCUGUAUUUGGUUAGUUCCUCUCAUGGCUUGAGUUUGGACUUCAUAGCUUUUAGAUAGACCCUUUUGUAUGCAGUUUAGUGUAUCUGUUAUUGGCAGGACUGCCCAGAAAGAAUAAACUCAGGCAUGUACUUAACUUGUUAGUUCCUUAACUCUGCUAAUUGACUAGGGUGGGCAAAACUUGGACCCCUUAUUUAUUUCCAAUUUAUGACAAAAGUCCCUUAUGACCCUACAUGUGGAUUAUAUCAACCCAAACAACAUUAGUUGUGUCAGUGCGAUUUCGUAUAAUAAUGGUGGUAACUAGGUGAUUUUGCUUUUUUCUAUGUGAUUAAUCUCAAACUUCCCUAUGCAUGUUUGAAAUGUAGGAUGUUUAAGUUACUUUAUUGUAGUUGAUUUGUGGGUUGAGAACUGUCGAUGCAUUUGCACUAAGCUGGCUCCAUGAAUUUUUUAAGAAAAAACCCUUUUGUUUUCUGAGAAUUAACUAUAUAAAAUUGUAGUUUAGUUACAUAAUCUUCUCAAGACAAUGGUCUCUGAUUGUUUUUCUUGGAUCUCUACUUUGACCUAGGUUGGUGCUGAUAAAAAUCUGCUUGUGAAGGAUCAUACUCAUACUUUUGUAAACAAAGGGGGCGAAAUUGGUGAACUGGAUUUUAGGUUUCCAAUUGGAGCUCCGUUACAUGGAAUUCGUGCUUUUUUGUCUACAA